UGGGGAAUAUUGCACAAUGGGCGAAAGCCUGAUGCAGCGACGCCGCGUGCGGGAUGAAGGCCUUCGGGUUGUAAACCGCUUUUAAUUGGGAGCAAGCGAGAGUGAGUGUACCUUUUGAAUAAGCACCGGCUAACUACGUGCCAGCAGCCGCGGUAAUACGUAGGGUGCAAGCGUUAUCCGGAAUUAUUGGGCGUAAAGAGCUCGUAGGCGGUUUGUCACGCCUGGUGUGAAAGUCCAUCGCUUAACGGUGGAUCUGCGCCGGGUACGGGCAGGCUAGAGUGCAGUAGGGGAGAUUGGAAUUCCCGGUGUAACGGUGGAAUGUGUAGAUAUCGGGAAGAACACCAAUGGCGAAGGCAGAUCUCUGGGCUGUUACUGACGCUGAGGAGCGAAAGCAUGGGGAGCGAACAGGAUUAGAUACCCUGGUAGUCCAUGCCGUAAACGGUGGAUGCUGGAUGUGGGACCCUUCCACGGGUUCCGUGUCGGAGCUAACGCGUUAAGCAUCCCGCCUGGGGGAGUACGGCCGCAAGGCUAAAAC
rnacentral:rRNA from 1 species